UACGGAGGGUGCGAGCGUUGUCCGGAAUCACUGGGCGUAAAGGGCGCGUAGGUGGCGCAGGAAGUCAACGGUGAAAGUUCGGGGCUCAACCCUGAAUCGGCCGUCGAUACUCCUGGGCUCGAGCACUGUAGAGGCAGAUGGAAUUCCGGGUGUAGCGGUGGAAUGCGUAGAGAUCCGGAAGAACACCGGUGGCGAAGGCGGUCGUGCUGGGC
rnacentral:rRNA from 1 species